rnacentral:rRNA from 1 species
UGAGGAAUAUUGGUCAAUGGCCGGAAGGCUGAACCAGCCAUGCCGCGUGAAGGUCAGUGCCCUAUGGGCGUUAAACUUCUUUUGUGCGGGAGCAAUAAUGGUCACGUGUGGCCAGACGAGAGUACCGUACGAAUAAGCAUCGGCUAACUCCGUGCCAGCAGCCGCGGUAAUACGGGGGAUGCAAGCGUUAUCCGGAUUUAUUGGGUUUAAAGGGUGCGUAGGCUGUGAGGUAAGUCAGCGGUGAAAUGCCCCCGCUCAACGGGGUGAAGUGCCAUUGAUACUGCCUUGCUGGAAUGCGGAUGCCGUGGGAGGAAUGUGUGGUGUAGCGGUGAAAUGCAUAGAUAUCACACAGAACACCGAUUGCGAAGGCAUCUCACGAAUCCGCGAUUGACGCUGAUGCACGAAAGCGUGGGUAUCAAACAGG